AUUUAAAUUGUUUAAAGGAGCAUGGUUUAUGGGCAAAAUGCACUGAAUUGCUCAUAUCUAAAUAUCUAUAGAGUACUGAAGUAUAAAGACAGUGACUAAGAUAAUUUAAUACUGAAUCAAAGGAUCUUUCUUUUUCAUCAAGAAACAGAUCUGUGGCAGCAGCCCCUGCAAAACCUGGAAACAGAAGCACUCAGAAGCUGAUAGUAAGAAGCAAUUGGACAAAGUGGGAAAUACCAGGCAGUUUUCUCUUUCAGAAAGAUGUAUAAUAGCUGUUACAGGGGAAUCUGACCAAAAUUCCAUGUAAGCACCAUAUAAUUUCUAAAGAAUCUACAACUUGGUAUGUGUUCACUCAGCAGAGGACAGAGAGAGAGGGAAAAAAGCAAUGUUUGAUCAAGAUUACCUUGAAGACAAAUGCUGCUUUGGAAGAGGAACCUACAGAUGAAAGGGCUUGUAUGUUUUUGAUUCAACAAAAAUGAUUCCUGUUUCUUGAGUGAAAGCAUCUCCAGAAAUGUUUGAUGCCUCAACCACCUGUGAAGGAAAGCCUGAAUGUUCUUCCCAUCAUCAGCCUAAGCUAAAGAAAUGUACGCCUCAUACAGCAUCUUGAAAUACACCUCAGCACAAUCAAAGCCUGAGAAGAGGAAGACAGAAUAUAACAGGCUUUCUACAUGCUAAAGCUUGGUCUGCAAAAAGAACUAAGGAAGCUAAGAAAGCUGUGAAGUAAUGAACAUCCUCUGUCGUGCAAGAAGGAAGGUAUUACCGAAGAUAAUGCACUGUAUCCAGGCAGAAGCACUACAAAAAGAUCAAACAUUCCACUUCAUCAUCCACAAAUACUUUGAUGCUACCAUAGGCAAGAAGAAUAGAGGAAAAGAAGCAAAAGGACACUUUAAAAUAGAAUACAGAAAAGAAAGAGAUUAUACACUGAACUGCUAUAAAUUACUGCCGGUAAAGCUGAGAAAUCCCAAAACACUAGAGAUGUAGCAAUCUGGUAAUGCAAGUAGAGAUUUAAACUUCAUCGAACAACCUUACCUCCCCCCGUGUAUUCUUGGAGAAAUAUACUCCCUGCUGUUCACAUAUUAGUUUCACGAGGAAGAGAAAUGUGAGGGUGGCCAACAAAUAAGCUAUUCACAGUUAUAUGAGUAUGAUUUACCCAAGUGUGAAUGCACUCAUGGGAGAACUGACAGGCAAGCCCCAAUUAGUUUACAAAAAAUUAUUUAAAAGCAACACCUCACAGUUGAGGUAUAAGUAAUCUCAAAGUCAGCUUUUAUCUUUUUACUUUCUAUCUCAUGAAUUUAGAGUUUUGCUUUUUUUAAACAGCAAGUGGAUAAUGAUAUCUCCUAAUAAUUUCCUUAAUUAUUCAUUCAAAUAGUAAAUGUUAAUUUCUUUCAGGCUGAGCACUUUCUCUGAGGUAAAGCAUCACUGUUGUUGCUUCUCUUCAUCCUCCUGCAACAUAAGGAUGUAUCUUCUUCAUUUUGUAGCAUCUCAGUACUUCUUUGCAUAA
ensembl:lncRNA